rnacentral:sRNA from 1 species
GGCUUUCCUUUUCCAUUUGCAAUCUCCGAUUAUUGAGCUCGUUUCGAAAGAGAAACAAACAAAAGACUUUGUGUUCAAUUGUGAGAUCUGAAUUUCUUUUGAUAAAUUGUCACCAAGAAAAUUUGUGUUAAUAAACAGUGUCUAUCUAUCAUAAAUCAUAUGCGGUUGUUGUGCGUUGUCUUAGAUGCGGCUAUCAAUAUUAUUUUGAAUAAUUUUCCAAAUAUUUUUAAAAGGCAAUUAAAAUAGUUUUGAAAUAUCUGCAAUAUUACAAUUUUUUUUAAAAAACAUUCAUAGUAUCUUCUGAAAUAUUAAAUUGUUUUUUUUUAAUUUCAGAUAACGAGUGGUAUAGGAGUUAUGGAAACUUUAUCCUUUAAUAUGGUUGAACUAUUAAAACUUUUGGUUGACUUCAAUCAAUACCUUGGCUCUACGAAUUGCCUUCCUUAACAUAAUGUUAUAAUAGCAUGGCACGAAACUGUUUGCUGGAGCAAAAUAGAUUACAAGUUAGUUGUUAGCAUAAUAAACUUUGCUGAGAAGAGGAAACUAACAGUCCUGGACCUAAUUUCAAUGAUAUUUAUAAGCAUGAAAUUCCCAUACAAUAUGAUUGAAGAAACCGUUUUCUGGUAAGCAACAAUUCACUUCAAACAACCAGAGAUCAAUGAUGUCCCUGAAGGUAAGUAAAUCGUAAGUAGAUACAUGUAGAAUAGGGAGAUGUAACCAUUUUAAGACAACAAAGUUCACAUUAAAGAGAUUCAAGCAAUUUAAGUUAAAACAUUCGAAUAUUUGGCAUCUAUAUUGACGAAUUAUUUUUAAAUUUUAUAUUCACCACCAUAGGAUGAUAGCUCUUAUCAGAAGUUCAGCCACUCUGUUUUUCCACCUCGAAGUAGGGAUUUAACAAAGUUUGUCCCCUUUGGAAAUCCCAAUAGCAUUCGAAAGAUUAAAUCAAUCUACUUUUUAUUGCCUAAACAGGUCUUUAGGGACUGCAGAUGGCUCAAAUCGCCUCGAAAUAGGGAUGUAACAAUGUCCGUCCCCUUUGGAAAUACCAAUAGCAUUCGAAAGAAUAAAUCAAUCUACUUUUUAUUGCCAUACAUUCGUUAAUGGGCAAAUUUGCAUUUGCAUGACUGGGGAUAAUUUUAUGCGUGUUUACUUGUUAUCCCACCAUCAUAGUUUGGGGGUAUACUAAUCUAGUCAGUCCGUUUGAACAUCUCGAAGUAUUGAUCUUCUAACUUUAGGGUACGAGUUUAUAUGUAUUUAUGAUCGUUUUAACAUUCUGUGUUGCUCUAGGCAUGUCCGUCCUUCUGAACGUCUGUCAAAAUCGCGAAAGCAUUCGAACGAAUGUUGAUAUUCGUUUUAAAUUUCGCACACAUUAUUUUAUUAAUGAAGUUCGUUAGGGAUUGCAAAUGGGUCAUAUCGGUUUAAAUCACCGGAUCUGACUUCUUGAGCUCCUAGAAGACCAUAAUUUCACCAGAUUUUAUACGUAAAGUACUUGUGCUCUCCAACAAAUUCCUCCGAAUUCCAGCAAAAUAGGCCUAUAAAUUUAUAUAGCCCAUAAACAAUCCAAUUGCCGGUUUUGACUUAUUCAACCCCAAUAAGCCUCAACUUUCAUCCAUCCCACCCAGAUAGGUCAAUACAUAAAUAAACAACCCCCAGACAAACAGCCUUAAAUUUCAUCCGAUUAUAAUGAGAUUUGGUUGAGGCCACCGCCUUUGACGUUGAAAGCCAGAAAAAAUUUUCAGUGGUGGUUAUCCCUUCCUAAUCCUGGCCUAACAUAGACUUUAAUAGGUUUACCGCUUUGCUGUCGCUUGCUAGAACAGGCAUCUCAGUUAUUGUGUCCAUCAUGGCAGGCCACUGUCGGAUUGAAAAAUAUGCUGAAAGACUAAAGGUUGCCAGUAACGAAUUUGCCGUAGUUGUGAGGGCUUCGAGGAAGAAAAGACUGCAGAACAUCUGAUGUGUGUGUCCUGCAAUGGCACUCCUUCUCCUGCUCCACUUUAGGUUUUUAUUGCUUUGAGAACUUGUCUUAUUUAGAGGGUGUGAACAUUCACAAGUUGUUGGGCUUUUUUAAGCGAUCUAGAUGGUUCAAAGGAAGGAACUUCUCUUCUUCUCCUGUUCCUGUGAUAUCACGAGAACGAGUAGGCUAAGUGAGUGAGUCUGAAUUGCAACUGCAACUUAAACCUAAAAUCCUCUAGGGAGAACCGGAUCGUUACAAAACGAGGGAGUGUAAAAGUUGAUGAGCAAAGCUUUCAGAACACAUAGAACUACGGGGACACUAAUACAGAAUGGGUGCUGCAAGUGACAGCGUAAGUGGCGAAGACGACAAGACCCUGAAGCAUUCCCACGCUGACGGUGACGGAUGUCGGUGUUUUUUUUUAUUAAUUGUUUUAUUUAAAAUUUUUCCAAUAUUUCGAUUACCGCCGGUAAUCUUCAUCGGGGAAUGGAAAACUAAAACGAUUAUAGAUAUAGAUAAAGACAAGUUGAUUUCUAUUGUUGCAUUGAAAUCGAAAUUAUGUGUUCGUUUGUCCAAAAAAUGUAACCCCACCACUGGGUGGGUGGUUCCUUUGUAAUGAUGUAAUGGCCUACAGAGAGUGGCAAAUUUUGUAUUUCUUACACCGUGCCAAGUCGCACUUAAACUCAGCGGUAAUCAUUCAAGCAAAUUGUGUUUCAACAGAAGAAGACAAAAUUUGUUGAAUAUUUGGAAAAAAGCGGCGUAAUAUUAAGAGUAAAUAUAAAAAGGUGCAGAGAGUGAACACGCUUUAUUUAGCUAACGGCAUAUUAGAUGUCUUGCCUUCUAUCUAUCCUAUCUAUUACCUAUUAUUUGGUCGAAAUGACGACAUAUGAACAUAUGAACCUGUUCGAAAGAGAAUGCAAAAAGUGUAACACUAUGAGAGGGCUGGGACGAUAGUUCCUUACUGUUGUCCCAUAUAAGAGCAACAUUUGUGACACAUUUUUUUCAGAAUCGAAAACAGAUUUAAAUUAUAAUUUUAAAUUACAGUUUGUCAUUAAGAUUAAUUGAAAUGUGUACGCCAAUUCAGUGGAACGAUGGACUAGUGACGCUACCUUGUAUUUUAUUCUACCAUGCACAUACGAGGGUAUCCUUUUACAUUCAGGGAUUGGACAAAUAUUGUGUGGCAAUCUGUCAGCUGACAGUUCUAUUAUAAAGCUUGACAUUUUUGAGGUUAUACAUAUUCAGAACGUUUUGACAUACGAG